UACGGAGGGUGCGAGCGUUGUCCGGAAUCAUUGGGCGUAAAGGGCGCGUAGGUGGCGGGACAAGCGUGCGGUGAAAGCUCGGGGCUCAACCCCGAGUCGGCCGUGCGAACUGUUUUGCUUGAGCACUGUAGAGGCAGGCGGAAUUCCGGGUGUAGCGGUGGAGUGCGUAGAGAUCCGGAAGAACACCGGUGGCGAAGGCGGCCUGCUGGGCAGUAGCUGACACUGAGGCGCGACAGCGUGGGGAGCAAACAGG
rnacentral:rRNA from 1 species